CAUUGGACAUGGCUGGGCGCGGAGCUGCGAGAGGCAAUGCACAAGUCUCAUCGCGUUUGAAGGAGUUGCGGCCAGGGCAAACCUCCCCAACGUGCCCUUCGAGGAAGGGGGCUCCCACCGCCUUUCAUUAUUUGCCAAGAAACGUAAGCCCAGAGGUCGUUCCUCCCAUUUCCAGCAUGUUGAGAACAGCAGUGGGAGAUUUAUCCUUGAGAAGGGGAGGAUUCAGAGGGAUCUAAAGCAGCUGUGCAGUACCUGUGAGGAGGUGUUUGAGAAGACAGCCAGACCCUUCAGAGCAGUGUAUGGUGAGAGGAGACACAACAGGUAUGAGGAGCCAGGUGAAACCCAGCAGUUUUUAGGAUCUGUGCUGGCAGAGAAGAGCGAGCAGAUGGUGCCCUAAAAUCCCCGCGCCCCGAAGAGUGAGCUAGUGAUCAUUUGUGAAGCUCUUGAGAUCUAUUUUUUUCCCAGACCCUGCUGAGCCUGGCGAGGACUAUAAUUGCAGCCUGGACUGGCUGGAGAGGGCAAUACCCGGAUGGGCUCCUCGCCUUUCAGGCUGUAAUUGGGCCCUGGCGAUACAAAGCACAAAAGCUCCUUCCUUCCUGUUUUGCCGGGCUCCCUCCGUGAAACCUUCCCCUGCCUGUGCUGGAAAAUAUGUAAAUACCAGGGCAUGGGAGAAUUGCUCCCUCGUGCCUGCGUCACGUCUGAAA